rnacentral:rRNA from 1 species
UACGUAGGCAGCGAGCGUUGUUCGGAGUUACUGGGCGUAAAGGGUGUGUAGGCGGUUGCUUAAGUUUGGGGUGAAAUCUCCCGGCUCAACCGGGAGGGUGCGCCGAAUACUGAGUGACUAGAGUGCGGGAGAGGAAAGUGGAAUUCCUGGUGUAGCGGUGAAAUGCGUAGAUAUCAGGAGGAACACCGGUGGUGUAGACGGCUUUCUGGACCGUAACUGACGCUGAGACACGAAAGCGUGGGUAGCAAACAGG